rnacentral:lncRNA from 10 species
CAUGAGUGCAGCUGUCUUGGAUCAGUCCAGCCCAGCCCAGCCACCUAGUGAAUACUUCUGAGUGAUCCCAGUUGAUGCUGUGUGGAGCAGAAAAAAUCACUCAGGCAUGCCCUGCCUGAAUUCCUAACCUGAAAACUAUUCCCUUCGCCGCCGCCAGAGUGAGCCACCGAAAUGCAAAUCUGCCCUUGCCACUACCCCAUUUAAGAGCCUCUUCACCCCAGCAGCAUUUUGCAGCGUGUCCCAUGGAACAGUAGAGAUGAUUUGUGAAUAAAUAGGCUCCAUGGUCUAAUAAGUUUGGGAAACCGCAUCCUCUUUCUCCCACGUGCAGAAAUAUUUUCAUAUCCUAAAUUGUAAUAUUUUAAAGGAUCUGGGAAGUCCUGCAGUAAAGAUUUAUCCAGUUCUUCAAACCCAUUUGACCAAGAAAACUUUACUCCCCUAACGCAAACUAACCCCAGA